rnacentral:rRNA from 1 species
CCUACGGGUGGCAGCAGUGGGGAAUAUUGGACAAUGGGGGGAACCCUGAUCCAGCCAUGCCGCGUGUGUGAAGAAGGCCCUCGGGUUGUAAAGCACUUUCAGUGAGGAAGAACGCCUGGUGGUUAAUACCCAUCAGGAAAGACAUCACUCACAGAAGAAGCACCGGCUAACUCCGUGCCAGCAGCCGCGGUAAUACGGAGGGUGCGAGCGUUAAUCGGAAUUACUGGGCGUAAAGCGCGCGUAGGUGGCUUGAUAAGCCGGUUGUGAAAGCCCCGGGCUCAACCUGGGAACGGCAUCCGGAACUGGCAAGCUAGAGUGCAGGAGAGGACGGUAGAAUUCCCGGUGUAGCGGUGAAAUGCGUAGAGAUCGGGAGGAAUAGCAGUGGCGAAGGCGGCCUUCUGGACUGACACUGACACUGAGGUGCGAAAGCGUGGGUAGCAAACAGGAUUAGAUACCCGAGUAGUC